AACGAACGCUGGCGGCAUGCCUAACACAUGCAAGUCGAACGAGACCUUCGGGUCUAGUGGCGCACGGGUGCGUAACGCGUGGGAACCUGCCCUUAGGUUCGGAAUAACUCCCCGAAAGGGGUGCUAAUACCGGAUAAUGUCUUCGGACCAAAGAUUUAUCGCCUUUGGAUGGGCCCGCGUUGGAUUAGCUAGUUGGUAGGGUAAAAGCCUACCAAGGCGACGAUCCAUAGCUGGUCUGAGAGGAUGAUCAGCCACACUGGGACUGAGACACGGCCCAGACUCCUACGGGGGGCAGAAGGGGGGAAUAUUGGACAAGGGGCGAAAGCCUGACCCAGCAAGGCCGGGGGAGUGAUGAAGGCCUUAGGGUUGUAAAGCUCUUUUACCCGGGAUGAAAAUGACAGUACCGGGAGAAUAAGCCCCGGCUAACUCCGG
rnacentral:rRNA from 1 species